UACGUAGGGUGCGAGCGUUGUCCGGAAUUACUGGGCGUAAAGAGCUCGUAGGUGGUUUGUCGCGUUGUUCGUGAAAACCGGGGGCUUAACCCUCGGCGUGCGGGCGAUACGGGCAGACGUUGAGUACUGCAGGGGAGGACUGGAAUUCCUGGUGUAGCGGUGGAAUGCGCAGAUAUCAGGAGGAACACCGGUGGCGAAGGCGGGUCUCUGGGCCGGAUACUGACGCUGAGGAGCGAAAGCGUGGGGAGCGAACAGG
rnacentral:rRNA from 1 species